rnacentral:rRNA from 1 species
GACGAACGCUGGCGGCGUGCUUAACACAUGCAAGUCGAACGAAGAGCGAUGGAAGCUUGCUUCUAUCAAUCUUAGUGGCGAACGGGUGAGUAACGCGUAAUCAACCUGCCCUUCAGAGGGGGACAACAGUUGGAAACGACUGCUAAUACCGCAUACGAUCUAAUCUCGGCAUCGAGGAUAGAUGAAAGGUGGCCUCUACAUGUAAGCUAUCACUGAAGGAGGGGAUUGCGUCUGAUUAGCUAGUUGGAGGGGUAACGGCCCACCAGGGCGAUGAUCAGUAGCCGGUCUGAGAGGAUGAACGGCCACAUUGGGACUGAGACACGGCCCAGACUCCUACGGGAGGCAGCAGUGGGGAAUCUUCCGCAAUGGACGAAAGUCUGACGGAGCAACGCCGCGUGAGUGAUGACGGCCUUCGGGUUGUAAAGCUCUGUUAAUCGGGACGAAAGGCCUUCUUGCGAAUAGUGAGAAGGAUUGACGGUACCGGAAUAGAAAGCCACGGCUAACUACGUG